rnacentral:rRNA from 1 species
GAUAAGGUUAAGUGAAUAAGGGCGCACGGUGGAUGCCUUGGCACUAGGAGCCGAUGAAGGACGGGACUAACACCGAUAUGCUUUGGGGAGCUGUACGUAAGCUAUGAUCCAGAGAUUUCCGAAUGGGGGAACCCAGCAUCUUUAAUAGGAUGUUACGAUUGUGUGAAUACAUAGCACAUUCGAGGUAGACGCAGAGAACUGAAACAUCUAAGUACCUGCAGGAAGAGAAAGAAAAUUCGAUUCCCUGAGUAGCGGCGAGCGAAACGGGAAAAGCCCAAACCAACAAGCUUGC